GAAGAGGAGGACGACCACGACGACGUAGAACUCCCGAGCAGCACUUCCCGUAUUCCCGAACUCGAGGGACCAGGUCUCGAAGCGUUAUCUCGAGAAUUAAGAGAUAACGGAAUACGGAUACGAUUAGGGGGCAAUCUGACGAGCCUUGCCAGUGCUCCAGAAUUUCGCCAGAAAGAAUCGCACGUGGAAUCGAGCGCGGAGAACUCGGUUCCCAAUCUGUCUCAAUCGUGCUACACCCAUUAGUCCGCCUGAAGUGAAAAUUUACCAAUACAUCGGAGCAUCAUUCAUUUUCACGCGGAAAGAUCUCGCACGGAAACGUCUAAGCCUGACUUCGGGGAUUAAACCGGAGUUUUAGCGCUGUGCAGUGAGUCUCCGAGAAGGGCUUCCUUCUCAUAUCUACUCUGUAUUCGGCGUUAUAUGCUCCGCGAGUAACGCGAACCGGAUAAAGGAAGUAGGGGAGAACAUGUAGAAGGAGACGGAAGGAGGAGGAAAGGAGGAAGUUAAGGGAGCGCGAAAAUGCGAGUGCGUGCGUGCAUACGGAACCAAAGAGAGCGUACUACAAGACCGAGAGGCCGGUGCGAGUGUAGCCGAGGAGGAUAAAGAAAGAAAGAGGGAGAGAUAGAGAGAGAAAGAGAGCAGUAGAUAAGAAAAGUCAUCACGGUCACUGCGCGUGCCGCACUAUGCCGUCAUUCAUUGAUUGCAUCGUACAUGGAGAGCGCACGGUGCUGUCGUACGCUCUACGCCGUUAAUGUUUGCCGGAUAGCGGAGCGAGCGAGCGCGAAAGAGAUAGAAACGGCGUGGAGCAAGCGAGAGAAAGAGAGAGCCGACCACUCAGACGGGCGAGACGAAAGAGAAACGGAAGAGCCGGAUAAGGGAGAGAGAGAGAGAGAGAGAGAGACGGCGGAGGGCGAAAAGUAUGAGGAAAGUACAUUCGCUCGCAAUUACGUACGUUUCUCGUUCGUUCGGUUCUUCUUCCCGCCCUUUCCCGCUCCCGUUUUUUUUUUCAUCGCGCUCGCUCACAUUUCUCACGUGCUUUCGUCAUGAUGAUUAGCUGUACAUACACUAGUAUGAACAAUAACGAUAAUUAAGCAGAAAGAUUAUAUCAGAUUUAGUAAUGACGGGACGAUAUUGUACCAAUCGUGUUCACGCUGCUCUAAUAGUCGACUUUAUAACCAUUUUCAUGAGUAAAAUAUCAAAAUAUUUACAUUAUAAAUAUUCUCAACAAAAAUACUGUAUUCCAUAAAAAUAUAAAAAUAAAAACUAUUUUACAAAAUUAAAUGUAUGUGAUACGAUGUGAAAAUAAUUCUGUGCGAAAAAGAAAUAAAAAAAAUAUGCUUGUUGUUGCGUAACGACGCAACAUCCAAAGUUUAAGAUAAGAGGAAGAAAGACGGCAAAAAAGCCA